ACCCUGAGGAUACCGUGAGGGGCUCCUGAGGGCCCGUGACGGAGGGACCCGCUCGCAGGGGCCGGGGGAAGGUGCGGAACGAGCAGAACGCCGCAGGCAGAGUCCCGCAAAGGGGAAAAGGCCGCGGCGGCCCCCAGCUGCAGUGUCUCCAGGCUGGAGAGCUCAGGGGUAGUGCAGGAUCUGCAGGGGAGAAGAGCUGGUGCCCCUCAGAGCUCGGGUGCUGUGGCAACGCUGGGGACGCGGCUGAAAAGAGGCCAAAGAAGCACCAAAGGGGCUCCAAGAGCCAUGGAGAGAGACUUUGGACAAGGGCCUGGCGUGGCCGGACACGGGGUGUCCAGCACUGCCCAGAUGCCUCAGGGUGACACACAGGGCCCUGGUUCAGCUUUCCAGACAGUGGCACCAGGUCAGGAGAUGGUGACCUGCUCUGGGGAUGCACCUGACUGCUGUGACACCACCACUAUCCACAUACCAGAAGAAUGAAACAGCGACUGAAAACAUUCACAAAGUGCCUAUGAGCAGGUUUGCACAGCUCAGAGCUUUAUUUCACAAGAACAAGAUGGAACUCAGGUUUGAUCUUACCAAAGCAGCCUCUGUUAACUUACCAGGUGGAAAUUACCCCGUCUCAGCUUUGAAUAUUAAUUUCAGAGAAAUGAUAAAAGAGGUGGGCAAAGUAUUACCCAGGAGUAAACUGCUGCCUGAGUUUAUAACAGCUUGAGGAAACUUCAAUGAGGCUCACAUUUCUGAGUGCAGCAGAAUUCUGUGGAAACUUAAACUUUGCUUCUGUGUAGAGCAAAACCCUGGGAAAUUCACUACAAAUCUUUUCUUUUGCGUAUUUCCCUUAUAAGUAGUAACACAGUCAUCUAACCGAGGUGUUAGAGUCACUCUUUAGAAGGUUCAGUGCAAACUAAUUGAAAACAGGUAAUUAUUGUUGUUGCAAACGUUGUUGCCAGGCGGUUGCCACACACAGUUGUGGCCUCUGCAGCCUUUCCUCCCCAUCUGGGGCAGAAUUUCAACAUCACAGCAAAACUUUAUGAACUGAAGUUACUCCCCACAUCCACAGAAAUAAAUCUUUGCAGGAUCCAAUUUGGACAGGCUGUUUCUUUCAUCUCCUAAGGCAGCGCUGUGUUCCCAGCAUGGAUGAAAGGGAAUAUUUUCAGGAAUAAAAUCCCCUGGGAUUUCUGUAACCAUGGUAACACAUAUAGAUAGCAGGCCUGCUUCCAAGCCAUGUUUUAUUGUUCCAGCAGUAAAGAACUGGAUCUACAAAUAACCGUCCUGGCCACAGGGAUGAAGUACUGCCCUUUUGCUUUCCCAUCAAAACAAAAUUUUAAAAAUUUAAUAUAUUGCUACAGUUAAACAUUCAGGAUAAAGUGCCAAGAUCUGUUCUGUCAUAAAUCUAACUGGGAUGUCUUGUUUCCUAAGCCACAGUGAGAAAGGGGAGAGUAUUCAGAUAUUUAAUGAGUACCAGAUAAAUAUUUUUUAAUAAUAAUUCAUAUUUCACUGCUGAAUAAAUACCAGCACUUAAGGUUGAAACAAAAAUUAAAAAAAUAAAAAGCAUCCUCAUCAAA